rnacentral:rRNA from 1 species
AUCCACUAUACCAUCUUGAAUGUGCCUUCCUGUCUCCUUUGAUUGCAGAAGCUAAGCAGGUUCAGGCUUGGUUAGUACUUAGAUGAGCAAUACCUGGGGUCUCUAAGUAGGGCUGGGAA